UGGUUUUGGACCCGUGUCUGCUGGUAGAUCCCCCGUUUUUGUGCGGCCGACUACCGGCGCCGUGUCCCGUCGUUCCUGUGGCUUUGUGUUACCGUUGCCUUUCAAGUGCUUGCGUGCUGGUACCCGAACUAAGGGAAUUGGUGCUACGUACAUGUUGCCUCGCGGUGGACGCCUUCGGGUGUGCUGCUGCGGCCAAAUGGCGCUUGCGGCGUUGCCUCGUUACGCUUCCACGUUUACGUGGUUGUUGUUAUCAAGGCAACCUCGCUCCUGCUGUUGGUCUCGGAUGUUGCCCACGAUGAAGUCUCAUGGCCCUUUUUGGUUGCCUAGACCCGACCCUAAGAAGCUCUCCGAAUUGAGAACAACCGGAACAGGUGUUGCCUCUACGUAUUCCGCAGUUAGUGGUAUGAUACGCAACAUUUUGCGCCGAUCCUCAAAUAAGUAGGACGAGCUUAGCCCGCUCAAUUGUGACAUCCGGCCCGGGGACGGCUUCUGGCUUGACACGCAAGUGGACGGACGGACGACUCCCGACGCUGGACGUCAACAAGGA
rnacentral:misc_RNA from 2 species